rnacentral:rRNA from 1 species
CCGCAAGGUUGAAACUCAAAGGAAUUGACGGGGGCCCGCACAAGCGGUGGAGCAUGUGGUUUAAUUCGAAGCAACGCGAAGAACCUUACCAGGUCUUGACAUCCUUUGACCACUCUGGAGACAGAGCUUUCCCUUCGGGGACAAAGUGACAGGUGGUGCAUGGUUGUCGUCAGCUCGUGUCGUGAGAUGUUGGGUUAAGUCCCGCAACGAGCGCAACCCUUGAUUUUAGUUGCCAGCAUUUAGUUGGGCACUCUAAAGUGACUGCCGGUGCAAGCCGGAGGAAGGUGGGGAUGACGUCAAAUCAUCAUGCCCCUUAUGACCUGGGCUACACACGUGCUACAAUGGAUAGUACAAAGGGUCGCGAAGCCGCGAGGUGGAGCUAAUCCCAUAAAACUAUUCUCAGUUCGGAUUGUAGGCUGCAACUCGCCUACAUGAAGCCGGAAUCGCUAGUAAUCGUGGAUCAGCAUGCCACGGUGAAUACGUUCCCGGGCCUUGUACACACCGCCCGUCACACCACGAGAGUUUGUAACACCCGAAGUCGGUAGGGUAACCUUUAUGGAGCCAGCCGCCGAAGGUGGGACAGAUAAUUGGGGUGAAGUCGUAACAAGGUAGCCGUAUCGGAAGGUGCGGCUGG